GGAGCAGGAUGUGGCCCUGGCCUCGCCAGAGCGUCCGCAGAAGCAGGCCACGAGCGAGGUUGCCAGAGCCCUGGGUGCCGUUUCUUGUUGACUGAAUGCGUUUCCAGGCUUCUGUUGCUUCCUGCACCAUACCUGGUGGGGCGGGAGAGUUCUCUGGGUGCACCAGUUCUUUUUCCUAGGAGGAAAAGCCCCCGGAGCCUUCUGGCUACCUGAGAUUGGGCUCUGAGAGGAGGCUGUAUAUGGGUGACCAGGGCAAUGGUUCUCAGCAGAUGCAUGCUGAUGAAGCGGGAUCGUGAGCCAUCGCUCCCAAGCAGAACCCUGUCAUGUUCACAGCCCGAAUUGAUUUCAUCUACAGGAGUGAGAGGUGAGGGAUUUCUGGAGGCUGCUCAGGGAAACUGCCCCGAUUGGGAUGCUUUUAAGUCUCCCUGAACCAAGCCAUGUGGGCCUAUUCCAAUGAGCAUAAAGUUUUCCUUUGCAUGGAAAGAUCUUGAAAAAGAAGAACUGUUGAGAUCAAGAAGAGGAGAGGCCUGGGGAGAGAGGAAGGACUCAGUACCUUGUUCUCCAGGCAUCAGACAUCAACACCGGCAGCCUGGGCAAUCCACACCUUUGUUCACGUUGAUAUCACUUCUGCCAUUGUCCGCCACUCCCACUCUGACCCAGAGGUACCCACCAAAUGGCCGGCGCCACAAGCCCUCACCAGGUGCUGGGUUGCAGCCGGGCUCCCGCCGAUAGCCCAGAAGCCAGCAACAUCUUCCUCAGGCGGAUGCCCGCGUCUGACCCCACACUAGGGGUGGUGUUGGGAGGCAACCUUGUGAUGUGGAAAACACUGGAGUGGAGAUCAGGGUCUUGGGCUUCCUGCCAUGAACCACCUACAAGACCUUGAUCCAAUUACUUUCUCUCUCUCAGCCCAAGUUUUCUCGUCUGUCAGAUGAGGCCCCUGAGGACCUGUGCAGAGUUAAGAGCCUAGAAGGCAGAGUUCAGCUUAAUAUUUGAUGUCUUUGCUACAUCCUCAACCUAAGUGGUUAAAAGCAAAUGACCUCUUUAGAGAAUACCUAAAUUAAAGAUAGUCUUUCUUGGUGCAAACAUAAAACGAAGAAGACUUUCAGAGGGCUCCCAACUAUAUGUGGAAGAUUGACUGCACACAUUUAUCUUCUUACAUUAUAGCUUGGUGAUUAGGUGGGUACUGGGGCCACACUGCCUGGGGUUGAAUACUGGCUCUGCCACUUACAACUAAUCUGAGGCAACUCUCUGUUCAUUUCUUCAUUUGCAAAACAAAGAAUUGAGGGAACAGUGAUAAGGUGGCUUCCCCUAGGCCCUGAAUACAAGAAACAUGGGAAAGAAAACAGCUACCCCUUGAGAGGCUGUGGGAGGCAGCAUUCCCGGGGAAAGCUGGGUUUGGAUCAGAACCGUGAGGUGAAGGAAGCAUCACAGAAGAGGACGUCAGGGAUGUGGCUGCUGAUGGAUGGAGGCAGAAAGCAGGGCAUACAGAGCUACAUGGGUCGGAAGUCUCCAUGGGAGUCCUGGGCUUCCUACAGGGCCUGGGAUAAAGGGUUCAACAAGAUUAGUCUACGACUGGAUAGGAAGCCAUGCCACCUGGAGGUGAGGGAGCUGGGGAGAUGUGGGUCUUUCCAGAAACACUUGGGCUCCUUUCCCAGUCUUGCUGAGGCCUGUGGGAGCUCAGAGGCAAGCUGUUCUAGAGAGGACACGUGUAGCCCGAGGGCUUCUUGACAAGCCCAUCUUGGAAUGAAGAAAUACUGAUUUCUUCCUUCAGGCUGGAGACUCUCAGGUAACAGGAAUUCCAGGGGCAGUGCAGGCAAAGGCUAAGGCAUCUGUGUAUUGACUCAGGUUUACACAACUGCUGGCGGCAGCUGGGACCAUCCACCUCUUCAGGAAUGGCUGCCACUCUUUUGUUAUGACUAUGGGUUUCCAGCUAUUGCCUGCUGUUGACCCCCCAAUGUGACAGCUGAACAGCGCCACAAAGCAGGAGUCUCCCUGCCCCACCUGUGUUCUACAACCGCCUCGGAUGGUGGCGAUCUGGUCUUUUCAACAGAAGCGGAAGUGCUCACCUGCCUAUUACCUACGACGUGGAACCCAGUGAGGGACAGUACGUGGUUCAUCAGCUCGCUCACUCCAUGACCGAUCCUACAAUGAAUUAUUUUUCCUAAAGCAAAGGAGAAACAAUAGAUUCUAAAAGAGUAUGUGACUCUUAUUUUCUGUCUUAGGAAAACAAUAGCAAAACCACCUAGGCACUUGUGUACAUAUUUACAUUUAUUUACAAACGUUUCUAUGUUAUUAGUAAAAACCAUCUUUUGAUAAAAAAGCAAGCACCAAGUCAUAUAAUACGCUGAUGAGAGUCAGACUAAUGCUUGUUCUCUGUUCGUGGGUAUUUCUUCUUAAAAACCACAGCUGCUUCAGGAGUUCUUCGAACAUUGGAAUACUUAAACGAAAAAUCCGAUGGCUUUUUAGCUUUUAAAAUAAUUUAGUUAUUACGCCAUUGGCUUCAUCUUCUUUACCAAUCAACUGGAGCUACAAAAAAAAAAAAAAAUUCAUAUUAUAAAAUGCAGUAAAGCUGGGCUGCAGACCAGUAGUCCUAACUACGCUCCUAUUCUAAUGUGAAUAGCCUUUUUGUAAUAAACUCAUCAAAGCCAAGGGUGCUAGGGUGCUAGGGAGCAGGGAUGGAGGGGGAGGGGCCUUGAGCACUCGUGGGAUGUAGCCUGAGUCCCACCUGAACAACAACCUUGAGGAUGUUGCACUCAGUAGCGGCCCCAAGGCUCCUCCCACCGACUCUUUGAGUGGAACUGAAACACCAAACAAUGGAGCGGAGACUGUUAGACCUACAGGUAAACUGUCACCUAUUCCUAACAGCUACUUCCUUCUUUGCUACAUGAAACUGCUGGGGAUAGUUUUCUUCCCACCUCAAACUUCUCUUCCUGUGUAGUCAUCUCUGUGGUGGUGACAGAACAAUCUCUGGCUGUCUCAGAGUAAAUCAGCCAAAAAACAAAA